rnacentral:tRNA from 1 species
GCGGGGAUAGCUCAGUUGGGAGAGCGUCAGAUUGAAGAUCUAGUGUUCGAUUCACGCUCACCGCA